AUGCUGAAAAAAAGAUCAAUAAAAUCAGAUAGUUACAAGCAAAAGUGUCAAACCUUUGGGUUGGGUUUGACACUUUAUGUUCUACUUUUAC
rnacentral:antisense_RNA from 1 species